rnacentral:rRNA from 1 species
GAUGAACGCUAGCUACAGGCUUAACACAUGCAAGUCGAGGGGCAGCAUGAACUUAGCUUGCUAAGUUUGAUGGCGACCGGCGCACGGGUGAGUAACACGUAUCCAACCUUCCGUUUACUCAGGGAUAGCCUUUCGAAAGAAAGAUUAAUACCUGAUAGUAUGGUGAGAUUGCAUGAUAACACCAUUAAAGAUUUAUUGGUAAACGAUGGGGAUGCGUUCCAUUAGGUAGUAGGCGGGGUAACGGCCCACCUAGCCUGCGAUGGAUAGGGGUUCUGAGAGGAAGGUCCCCCACAUUGGAACUGAGACACGGUCCAAACUCCUACGGGAGGCAGCAGUGAGGAAUAUUGGUCAAUGGGGCGAGAGCCUGAACCAGCCAAGUAGCGUGAAGGAUGACUGCCCUAUGGGUUGUAAACUUCUUUUAUAAGGGAAUAAACCCUCCACGUGUGGGAGCUUGUAUGUACCUUAUGAAUAAGCAUCGGCUAACUCCGUGCCAGCAGCC